UUCAACCAAUCUUUUUUUUUUUUGGAUGGUGGGUCAGCGACUGCGUAUUAGGCGUCAUAUGUAGCUAGAGUAUCAAAUAACUCCUUUCACUGCUCUCUCUCACUCUCAUUUCUUUAAUUGGAAUAACGAUCCGUGUCCUGCACACAACCUGUUCGAUGGAAUGCUCAUGAGUAGAUCUUCACAUCAAACUUCAAAGAGGAGGGAUAUAUGCAGAGAUGUUGAAGAGGGCCCAGCUUUGCAUCCUUGAUUUCAUGAUCUUGUUGGUGGAUUAAGAACAAAAUGCCUCACCGAACAAGGCCUAUGACUGCACUUUUGGUUUUCAUGGGAGUUAAUGUUGUCUUGGUGUCGACAAUCACUCCGGUUUAUGAUUUUGUGUGCUUCCAUCCUUACUGGGAAAGAAGGAGAGAACGUCGUCGCCAGGAACGUGAAGCUGCCAUGGCAAAGGGUCCCCAGUCAAGUUAAAGGGGUGGUGUUCAGAGAGACAUUCUUUCAUAUACAGCUUGAGGAAGAAGAAAAGAAAAGGCUUUUUAUUGUCAUUAUGGUGUUUGUUUUUACUCCAUGUGGGUGUGAUUGUUUGUUGAAGAAGAAUGAUAUGAUCUUCAACCUGAGAAAUGCACAUCCUCCUUUGGUUUUCAGUUUCUACAGGUGUGGCUAUGGUUCCAUGAUCCAAACCAUUCUUUCGUUGGCCCCAUUUGUUGAUGGACCAUGGCCCUCAUCAGGAUGAUCGUUACCUUUCAAUUAUUUGGCCAACAAAUAGAUUUUUUUUUUUUUCUUUUUUUUCUUUUGAAGGAUGAUCAGCAAAGAGAUAGUCAAGGUGACAAAUACCACAGUGAUCUGCGUUCAAGUGGAAGAGGACCAAGAUUGGCAUCUAGCAUCUUUCAAUCCAAGAGUUCAUCUUCAUGAUCAAUCGAAUGUGGGGUCCAGCCGAUCAAUGAUCUGGAUCAUUGAACCAUGCAGUGUAAAUAUAGACAUUUUUUCCCCCUUUUAAUGGAUUAUAUAUUUGAUGGAAAUCAUAUCAGGAAGAGGAUAUAGUGCUC